rnacentral:rRNA from 2 species
AACGGUCAAUUGGCAGAGUUUGAUCAUGGCUCAGGACGAACGCUGACGGCGUGCCUAAUACAUGCAAGUCGAGCGGACAGAAGGGAGCUUGCUCCCGGAUGUUAGCGGCGGACGGGUGAGUAACACGUGGGUAACCUGCCUGUAAGACUGGGAUAACUCCGGGAAACCGGAGCUAAUACCGGAUAGUUCCUUGAACCGCAUGGUUCAAGGAUGAAAGACGGUUUCGGCUGUCACUUACAGAUGGACCCGCGGCGCAUUAGCUAGUUGGUCCGGUAAUGGCUCACCAAGGCGACGAUGCGUAGCCGACCUGAGAGACUGAUCGGCCACACUGGGACUGAGACACGGCCCAGACUCCUACGGGAGGCAGCAGUAGGGAAUCUUCCGCAAUGGACGAAAGUCUGACGGAGCAACGCCGCGUGAGUGAUGAAGGUUUUCGGAUCGUAAAGCUCUGUUGUUAGGGAAGAACAAGUGCGAGAGUAGCUGCUCGCACCUUGACGGUACCUAACCAGAAAGCCACGGCUAACUACGUGCCAGCAGCCGCGGUAAUACGUAGGUGGCAAGCGUUGUCCGGAAUUAUUGGGCGUAAAGGGCUCGCAGGCGGUUUCUUAAGUCUGAUGUGAAAGCCCCCGGCUCAACCUGGGAGGGUCAUUGGAAACUGGGAAACUUGAGUGCAGAAGAGGAGAGUGGAAUUCCACGUGUAGCGGUGAAAUGCGUAGAGAUGUUUGGCCAAUCACUGCCAAACUG